UACGUAGGGUGCGAGCGUUAUUCGGAAUUACUGGGCGUAAAGCGUGCGCAGGCGGUUUUGUAAGCCAGAUGUGAAAUCCCCGGGCUUAACCUGGGAAUGGCAUUUGGGACUGCAAGGCUCGAGUGUGGCAGAGGGAUCUGGAAUUCCUGGUGUAGCAGUGAAAUGCGCAGAUAUCAGGAAGAACACCCGUGGCGAAAGCGGCUCUCUGGAACGGUACUGACGCUGAGACGCGAAAGCGUGGGGAGCGAACAGG
rnacentral:rRNA from 1 species